AUUUUUAUAGCUUAUAUAGAGUAAUACACUGAAGAUGUAAAGGAAGAAUUAAACUUAAAAAUA
rnacentral:tRNA from 1 species